rnacentral:rRNA from 1 species
AGCUCCAAUAGCGUAUAUUAAAGUUGUUGCAGUUAAAAAGCUCGUAGUUGGAUUUCUGGUACGCCAUGCUCGGUCUGCCACCUUUCGGUGGUAAGUACAGAUGCGCGGCUACCAUCCUUCUAGAGAACGGGUUUACCCUUCAUUGGGCCGAGCUCGCGAUCUAGAUCUUUUACUUUGAAAAAAUUAGAGUGUUUAAAGCAGGCUUUUGCUAUGAAUACAUUAGCAUGGAAUAAUAAUUUAGGACUUUGGUUCUAUUUUGUUGGUUUCUAGGACUGAAGUAAUGAUUGAUAGGGAUAGUUGGGGGUGCUAGUAUUCAGCGGCCAGAGGUGAAAUUCUUGGAUUCGCUGAAGACUAACUUAUGCGAAAGCAUUCACCAAGGAUGUCUUCUU